rnacentral:lncRNA from 1 species
UGCUUGCCACAUGACCUAGGAGACGUCUAUGGACAACGCCAGCUCUUCAGCUUAGAAAUGGAGAUGAGCACCAACCCCCAGAGUCAGACUCGACUAGACUUAAUAUCAGGGAAAAUCCUUUACCUAUACCUUAGGUCAAAACCAGCACUUUGAAUUACGGUAUUCUCAGAAUUGUUCUAUUGGAUUAAUCAUUUGAUUUUGGCUAGUGCAUACAAAAUAUGGCUCAUUUGAAAAAGGAGAAGAAAAAGAUGGCCCUGAAGGUGGACGAAGUACAUUAGACAUUGUCCCACAGUGUUCAGAGCUUCAGUUGUUUGGUGCCUUGAAAUCACAUAUGCUGUGAUGACUCAUGGGCCAUGUAGUCCCGUUCCCGGCACUGUUGAGACAGAUGAAGAUGAAAACUUAGGUUUCCCACCGUUUCAGCCAGAAUUGGAGCUUUUUCAGCCAGAAUUGGAGCCCUUGCACCUGCAGGAGAUUUGCCUUCCAGAAGUCUGCCAAACAAGCCUUGAGCCGAAAUCUCCCCCAUUUUCUCGCCAUGAUUAUUAUAAACAACAGAAAGGCGCUCAGGAGGCGUCUCGCAGGAGCGCUAGGAUCGCUGCCAGGCAUUCAGCUGAUUAAGCCUGCUUCCCAUGGGAAACUUUAGGGAGUCAUGCAUCUGGACACAGAGAAUGGCUUUCGGGUUCUGGUUCCCCAGAGAAUUGUUCUUUGGCGGGAAAACGAGACCCUAUUUAGGUGUUUUGCCCACGUAGGAACCUUGCGGAGUCAAUUCGUCAGCUUCGGGAGUAGGUUGUGUGUGGACUACGCUACUCCCGCGUCCAAGCCCUUGUUCCCGUUUCCAGCCUUGCCUUGCUUCCCAGGACCUUGUCUUGCUCCACGGACCUUGCCUUGCUUCCCGGACCUCGCCACGAAUUUACCACGGAUCCUGUUCUGCUUCCCAGGACCUUGUCUUGCUCCACGGACCUUGCCUUGCUUCCCGGACCUCGCCACGAAUUUACCACGGAUCCUGUUCUUGCUCCUCGUUUCUUGUUGCCUUGAAUUAAGCCUAGUGUUCCAAGAAUCAAGUUUACUUCCUAGCCUUGCUUAAGUUUCAUGGACUAAAGGACCUUGUCAUCUCCCCUCACUUUGCUUGGCAAAGUGAGUGUUUCGGUUACUGGAUUACAACUUUGGACCUUAAUAUUUCAUAUUGGACAUUGUUUCUUUGGACUAAUUUUGACCUUUCCUGAAAGGUCUACUUCUGGACUAUUUUCUACACUUGUUUUUAUUAACUUUAUAUACUCCUACAAUAAAGAUAUUAGAUAGAUUCUGGCCUCUGUGUAUGGUUAUUGGUGCUCUGCAGCCUGGGUCUUGACAUAUGCAAACAUAUAUUCCAAUGAGGCUCAUCUGAACUUCCUUUGUGGUUCUCAGGCAUAGUGAUGCCAUGGAUUCUGUGUCUGGUUUCAGAAAAGCCACUUUCUUAUAAGGAGAGAUAAAAAUAAGCCAGCAAUCAUAAAGUUCCUUUUUCAUGCGCUUUUCCAAUAUAAAGUCUUUACAUGUAGACAGGAGGAGAUUCCCAUGUGAAUUUGGUAUGACAUGUGGCCUUAAAAACAUAUUGAAGAAUCUGCUACCCAGCUCUCUGCCCCAAAUAGCUUACAGCCCAACAAGAACAGUGAAGCUGAAAAAUACCAGCAAAGUAGUUAGUCUUCUUAGCCUAGCUUUGUAUUUUGACUGUUUUAAUAGUACUGUAAUAUGAGCUGAAUCAAAGGAUUAUCAAGUAAGAGCAACGGGUGGGUGGUUCAUGGUGGCCUGCAAUCUACAAAUCAGAGGAAUGUUGCUGCGUAAGGAGCAAAUGGAUGAAGAAAAAGGGUUGAAAAUCAAAUUGCAUAAUUGGAAAAGAAUGGGAAAUUUGGCUCAGAGUGUGAACUACAAAGAUAUCUACUGUGAAUGGGCAUGGGACCUACUGCAAAUUGUUGCAUUAGUACAUUUCUGGGGCCUUAGCCCCUUUUCUGGGGAAAAGGAAACUGGUUCUGGGUUGUUGUGAGUUUGUCGGACUGCAUGGUCAUGUUCCAGAAGCAUUCUCUCCUAACGCUUCACCCACAUCUAUGAUAGGCAUCCUCAGAGGUUGUGAGGUAUACAGUAGAAGCUACAGAGAUCCCCUUCUUUCACACUUGCCUCCAACAGGCAAGAGUUCUUUCUCCCACCCUGGACCUUCCACAGAUAUAUAAACCUCCCUUGUCUAGUUUCCAAUAUACCUCACAACCUCUGAGGAUGUCUGCCAUAGAUGUGGGCGAAACAUCAGAAGAGAAUGCUUCUGAAACAUGGCCAUACAGCCCAGAAAACUCACAGCAGCCCAGUGAUUCCGGCCAUGAACAACACAUAAAACUGGUUCUAUUAAGAUUAGGGUGCAUCUAUACUGUAAAAUUAAUGCAGUUUAACAUCACUUUAACUGCCAUGGUUUAAUGCUAUGGAAUCAUGGGAACUGUAGUUUGGAAAGGCACCAGCAUUCUUUGUCAAAGAGAACUAAAAGUACAACUCCUUUGAUUCCAUAGCAUUGAUCCAUGGCAAUUAAAGUAGUGUCAAACUCCAUUAAUUCUACAGUGUAGAUGUGCUGUAAGGCACUACUAUGGGAAACUUGGAACUAAAACUGCAACUAAAUACUUUUGUAAAUUAAUUGGCUGAGCUCUGUAGGGGCACAUAUAUAAAGCAAAUAUAAUCCCCAUGCUUGGUUAUUCUGUGUAUUGGGGUAGGCUGAGGAGUGGAUGAUCAGCUGAUAUCAAGGACAUUAGUUUAUCUAUCCUGAAAACUGCAUGCAGAGGACUGUAGUUGACCAUGGAAAACAUUCUGAAUUAUAGCCUCCAAGUCAAUUUUCAUUUAACACAUUGCGAAGUCCAAACUGUUGACUUUAAUGGGAUUUAUUCAUACAUGUCUUAGCUCUAGGGUCCGGGUCUACAUUUGCAAGAUGCUGAUUACACCAGCUUCACCCUGUUCAUUCCUACAGGGUUGAAGUGAAUGUUACUCAGAGCCAGAUUAAUCUUUUUCUACCACAACAUUAAAGAAUGCAUGUGCCCUCCUUAGCCAUUUUGACGCUAAAGAAUAAGGACUUUUAAAUCCUGUCUUUGGGGAGGAGGGAAUGCUCACUCCCCCUGGAAUUUCACCUUCAUUUGAACCAGGGGUGUUGAAAGAAAAGCACUUCAAUGUAUUGUUCACUGACUCCACCCAUUCAAUUCCUUAUCUAACCUGAGUCAUUACAGCCUGUAGCUUUGUAACUCUGGCAGCAGUAAACUUCAGCUUUUACCAGUUAAGAGCCUUACCUGUGUGACCCACCCUCUGUGGGUAUAUACCACCCCCUUAGCUAAAGGAGUUAGAGGUCAAGCCUUUUCUAGUCUUUAGCAACUCUUGCCUAGCUUGUCACGCUGAUAGGUAUCAAUGGAUUGACCUGCAACUGAUCCAUCCUACAAUGCACUUCUUUCCAAUAUUUAAGCCUGCUGCAAAUUCUAGUUUUAAUUAUCCAUUCCAGAUUAACCCCUCCUGUGCUGACCACCUGGAGGUGCAUUGGGUCUUUGCCUGAUGCUGAAGGAGAAAAAUGUUUUCCUGUCAAGGAACCUAAGAGCUGUGGUUUGUAGUGAGCUGAAAAAAUUACCAUUGUUCAGGGCAAUUUAGGAGUAGCAGUAAAACUGAAUCUUAAUAUAAUUUGCUCAAGCCCCUAACAGCUCAGGUCUCAAGUCUCUGAAGGACUGUCCCUUUCAUACAAGCUUUUCUGAGUCCUUGAAAUCAUUGGAAGACUUUAUUUUGGUUAUAGUACCAUCCACCAAGGCACAAUUAAUUAAAAUAUGUGAGAAAGCCUUAUCAGUGGCUGAUCCAAGGCUUUAGAAUUAACUUUGUAGGAAAACUGAACUGGUUCUUACUUUUGCUGCCCUAGAAGAUGAAGACUGUUUUAUUCCAACAGGAACUGAAGGAGCUGAUUCCUUGACAAGGAACGAGUUGUUGUAGUGUUUUACAAACUGUGUCUUUUGCUUUUUAUUAAAUAGGCUUUAAACUGUUUUAAAUCAAUAUGCAUUAAAUCUAUCAGCUGCCCCACCUUUCCUUAUUGCAGGAUUUGGCCAAUAAUUGACAGCUGGAGAAUGUGUUUAGCCCAGGUAGGAAGUUUGGGAUCUUAAAGGAUGCCAGAAGUCUUGAAUCAAUUUCCAGGGGUGGUAACUGUGUUUGUCUUUUGCUGCAAAAAUAGAAGAGUCAUGUGACACCUUAAAGACUAACACAGUUUAUUUAGCAUAAGAUUUCAAUAAUUCCACCCACUUUGUUGUUUGCAUGGAGUAUAGCCUUGGUUGUCAGGUUAUUAUAUGCAGGGUUGGGCAGAAGAGCAAAUGAGUGAAAGAUGUAAUCAAUUCAAUGAGAGGGAAUU